CCUACUGGUGACAUCAUUGAGGCAUCUUGGUCAAUGGCCGUAAGGCUGAACCAGCAAAGUAGCGUGAGGUCCUCCUUCCCUCUUUUUUUUCCCCCUCUUUUCUUCUUUGCUCAAGGUGUCCACGUGUGGAUGUUUGCAGGUACCGCAUGAAUAAGGACCGGCUAAUUCCGUGCCAGCAGCCGCGGUAAUACGGAAGGUCCGGGCGUUAUCCGGAUUUAUUGGGUUUAAAGGGAGCGUAGGCCGGUCUUUAAGCGUGCCGUGAAAUUUUGUGGCUCAACCAUGAGAGUGCGGCGCGAACUGGAGACCUUGAGUGCGCGGAAGGCAGGCGGAAUUCGUGGUGUAGCGGUGAAAUGCUUAGAUAUCACGAAGAACCCCGAUUGCGAAGGCAGCCUGCCGCAGCGUUACUGACGCUGAAGCUCGAAAGCGCGGGUAUCGAACAGGAUUAGAUACCCCUGUAGUC
rnacentral:rRNA from 1 species